rnacentral:rRNA from 1 species
UAGGGAAUCUUCCGCAAUGGACGAAAGUCUGACGGAGCAACGCCGCGUGAGUGAUGAAGGUUUUCGGAUCGUAAAACUCUGUUGUUAGGGAAGAACAAGUUGGGUAGUAACUGACCCAACCUUGACGGUACCUAACCAGAAAGCCACGGCUAACUACGUGCCAGCAGCCGCGGUAAUACGUAGGUGGCAAGCGUUGUCCGGAAUUAUUGGGCGUAAAGCGCUCGCAGGCGGUCUUUUAAGUCUGAUGUGAAAGCCCACGGCUUAACCGUGGAGGGUCAUUGGAAACUGGAGGACUUGAGUACAGAAGAGGAGAGUGGAAUUCCACGUGUAGCGGUGAAAUGCGUAGAGAUGUGGAGGAACACCAGUGGCGAAGGCGACUCUCUGGUCUGUAACUGACGCUGAGGAGCGAAAGCGUGGGUGGCGAACAGG